rnacentral:rRNA from 1 species
UAAUAUUUCAUUGACGUAUAAAGUUAAUUACCCUAAUUAAACUACAUAUGGCAGCUAACACACAUUGUGACAAACCAAAACCCAACCAACGCCUUAAACAGACGCACUAGGGCCUACGGUCAAGAUGCUUCUCUAGCAAAUCUAAGGUUAAACACACCCACAACACCAAUGUCCUAUAUUACAGUAGCUAGGAAACUAGGCCUUAGAAAAAAGUACAAAGAGUGGCAAAAGGGGUGCCAGCAGUCGCGGUUAUACCCUUACUCUAAGUUAACUCCAUCCCACCUUAGAGGGUAACACCUAGUCAGACCACUAAGCCAACUUAUAACGUAAAAAGAUAAAUUUACAAACCAGAUCCAAACAGGUCAUACUUAUACCUACUCUUACAAACCACAAAACGAAACUCGGAUUAGAUACCCGACUAUUGCGUGGCCCAACAGCAAAAAGAAUACUAAGAGCGAAAGCUUAAACCUCAAACAAUGUGGCGGUACUUUACUCCAUAUCAGGGGAUCCUGUAUCUUAAAUCGAUAAUCCACGAAUAACCAAAGCUUUUCUAGUAAUCAGCUUGUGUAUGGCCGUUUAUGCUUGCUCAGAGAAGACCCAAUAGGAAGCAAAAAGAGAACACCUCGACCAAUUCAGGUGACAUACAGCCAAUGAAAAGCUGAUUUAUGGGAUACAAAUAAACAAAAUUACCAAAUUAGGCCUUAAAACCCCUAUGAAGGAGGACUUGAAAGUAAAAUGGCACACACAUAGUGCAUUUGAACAAGAACUAAAGUGCGCACAAAUCGCCCGUCACUCCUGCGACUAAAGCGGGAUAAGUCGUAACAUAGUAGGGGUAAUGGAAAUUGCCCCUAUCC